UGGGAACUCUGAACAGAUUGUGCUCAAUUUGGAGGAGUCCAUCGUAACUUUCAAUGGAAGUGUUCAAGGCUGCAGUUGUUCCUGGUUGCUCUUGCUCGAGAAUAGACCCAGACCCCACCCAGGAACUGGGGAUGGAUGUUCCAUGAGGACCUUGCUUAUCUUGUCUGUCAAUGUCUAGCUCAAUGCUGGGCACAUGGAAGAUACUCAGGAAAUAAUUGCCAAAUGACUGGAAUAAUGAACAAAGAAGAUCGAGCACUGCCAAGUUCAGAAAGACUACAACUUCAAAAGACAUUAAUUAGGGGACGGAGCAAGAUGGCGG